AAAAGAGGUUAGAGACGACUCAAUAAAUUUCUAAGGAUUUCACUUCGAACUCUUUCUGCA
rnacentral:tRNA from 1 species